rfam:Tetranychus urticae London genomic scaffold, scaffold_4
GUUGGCUAUGGUGACAUGGUUCCACUAUCUUUUUGGGGUAAAAUUGUGGGCUCUCUUUGUGCCAUUGCUGGUGUUUUAACCCUUGCACUUCCAGUACCCGUAAUUGUCUCCAAU